rnacentral:rRNA from 1 species
GGGUUGUAAAGCUCUUUCGUCGGGGAAGAAAAUGACUGUACCCGAAUAAGAAGGUCCGGCUAACUUCGUGCCAGCAGCCGCGGUAAUACGAAGGGACCUAGCGUAGUUCGGAAUUACUGGGCUUAAAGAGUUCGUAGGUGGUUGAAAAAGUUGGUGGUGAAAUCCCAGAGCUUAACUCUGGAACUGCCAUCAAAACUUUUCAGCUAGAGUAUGAUAGAGGAAAGCAGAAUUUCUAGUGUAGAGGUGAAAUUCGUAGAUAUUAGAAAGAAUACCAAUUGCGAAGGCAGCUUUCUGGAUCAUUACUGACACUGAGGAACGAAAGCAUGGGUAGCGAAGAGGAUUAGAUACCCUCGUAGUCCAUGCCGUAAACGAUGUGUGUUAGACGUUGGAAAUUUAUUUUCAGUGUCGCAGCGAAAGCGAUAAACACACCGCCUGGGGAGUACGACCGCAAGGUUAAAACUCAAAUGAAUUGACGGGGACCCGCACAAGUAGUGGAGCAUGUGGUUUAAUUCGAAGAUACGCGCAGAACCUUACCAACACUUGACAUGUUCGUCGCGACUCUAAGAGAUUAGAGUUUUCGGUUCGGCCGGACGAAACACAGGUGCUGCAUGGCUGUCGUCAGCUCGUGUCGUGAGAUGUUGGGUUAAGUCCCGCAACGAGCGCAACCCUCACUUUUAGUUGCCAUCAUUAAGUUGGGCACUCUGAAAGAACUGCCAGUGAUAAGCUGGAGGAAGGUGGGGAUGACGUCAAGUCCUCAUGGCCCUUACGUGUUGGGCUACACACGUGCUACAAUGGUAUCUACAACAGGAAGCAAGACUGCGAAGUUAAGCAAAUCCCUAAAAGAUACCUCAGUUCGGAUUGCACUCUGCAACUCGAGUGCAUGAAGCUGGAAUUACUAGUAAUCGUGGAUCAGCGUGCCACGGUGAAUGCGUUCCCGGGUCUUGUACACACCGCCCGUCACACCAUGGGAGUUGGUUCUACCUUAAGGCAAGGUUUCAAACCCUUGACCACGGUAUAGUCAGCGACUGGGGUGAAGUCAUAACAAGGUAGCCGUA